rnacentral:lncRNA from 1 species
UCUAGCAUUGGUAGGUACUCAGGAGGCCCAUACAUUAUUUUCAUCCAUUCUGGAUGUUUCUGCACAUGUAGUAGUUGAAGUUAGUUUGGAAUCAGAUUGUUCCUUGCUAGCUGCACAUGUGAUAUAUCAACAAGUACCUUUGUUGCAGUCUCCCACCACUCCAAGGUUGCAGUAGGCCACCCAUUUUCAUCACGGCCUAAACCACUGUCGGAAUGGAUGUCUUUUAUGAACUGGUACAUUCCCUUGAGCUGCCUAAUCCUAUUAGAUAUCUGUUUCCUAUCAUGCCUCAGCCCUGAACCACAAUAAUAUUUUUCUAUGACAAGCUUGUACCCUCUUGCUGUCAUACUACCUUUAAUGUAGUUACCCAACUCAAUUUGCUCAACAAGUAAUUGACACAACAGGUUGUUAUUCUGCUCUGUUGUCCAACUUCCCCUGUCCAUUUUAUUCUACCAUAUACAUCACAAGAAAAAUAACAUCAGAACUCCAGUACACAUGCAUAAUCUAUCUCUUAAGUAAUACACUAAGGUCGUUGUUAGUCUAGCAACAAAAAUGUAGCUACAAAUCCAUAUCCAUCACUUGUUACCAUCUAAUUUGCAUAUAUCCAACCCCUUAUUGUACCUCUGUACCCCCCCCCAACCUAUUUUUCUGUCUCUGUCACACACACACACACAGCUUAUGCAUAGGCGCUGGCAACCUCCUACUCCAUCAACUUCAAGUGAUGGCUAACAUGCAUCAGAAGCACAAGCAUUUCAUUGUAAUAUAACAACAGUUGACCACCCAUUCACAACUCUGAGAUCA